rnacentral:tRNA from 1 species
CAGGGAGACAACAAAAUGUUUAAUAUUAUUAUUUUGUCACCUUAGGUCGAUCGGUAUCUCACGUUUUUAAUUUAUUAAGAAUUUCAUUUCCUAAGUUUUUCUAGGUCACACCCAUUAUUUUUCCUGGGCCAUUAGCUCAGGUGGUUAGAGCGCACCCCUGAUAAGGGUGAGGUCCCUGGUUCAAGUCCAGGAUGGCCCAUAUCUCUAUGUUGGGGGUAUAGCUCAGUUGGUAGAGCGCUGCUUUGCAAGCAGGAUGUCAGCGGUUCGAGUCCGCUUACCUCCACUGAUUACACCUCUUCCAUAACCGGUAGAAAAGGAAAUGUUUUUGAGUGUGAUCAUUCUUGAAGAAUCCUACCUUCCUAAUGAAAUCAUUAAGAUGCUGGACUCAUUGAAUUAAUUUCAUUGUUUUCAGAGAACCUUGACAACUGCAUAGAUUAUUUUUAAAGACAAUAAGCAUCUUUAAUGAUGCAGACUUAUUAUUUGUGCGAAUGCAUUAAUAACAAUUCUAUUAAGCUGAUGCUUCAA